GCGGGAGUAGCUCAGUUGGUAGAGCACAACCUUGCCAAGGUUGGGGUCGCGGGUUCAAGUCCCGUCUCCCGCUCCA
rnacentral:tRNA from 2 species